GGUCAAGGAAGUUGGUGAACUGAUGACAGGGAAGCCGUCAAAUCCUAGGGCUCAACCCUGGACAGGCGGUGGAAACUACCAAGCUAGAGUACGGUAGGGGCAGAGGGAAUUUCCGGUGGAGCGGUGAAAUGCAUUGAGAUCGGAAAGAACACCAACGGCGAAAGCACUCUGCUGGGCCGACACUGGCACUGAGAGACGAAAGCUAGGGGAGCAAAUGGGAUUAGAGACCCCAGUAGUCCUAGCCGUAAACGAUGGAUACUAGGUGCUGUGCGACUCGACCCGUGCAGUGCUGUAGCUAACGCGUUAAGUAUCCCACC
rnacentral:ncRNA from 1 species